CCCCUCCCCAAGCCAUUCUCUCGACCGUGAUAGUCGAAAGCGACGGCGCGAGCACGACCCACCUCCACUGCCUCCACCUCGCCCUAGUCAUAUGAUCCUCUCCCCGCCCUCCCAACCGCCCCCGUGGCCCCACCCCUCACUCUGUGAGACCAAUGCCCGCAGUGCUUGCCGCCGCCCAACCAUGGAGAUAGGGCAGUACGCCACGACCAGCUGCUCCAAGGAGCAUCAGAAGAUUUCCGCUCGUGGACGCAUGUUUGAUUUUGUCCCCCCUACUAUGUUUCCUUCGAUCCCCAAUCCCCUUCCCAGGUAAGAAACACACGUCUCCACAGGCGGCCACCACUGAUUCGGUCUAGCUGGAGGUAACAGUGGCGAUGGAGAUGGCGGUCACAGAGCCAUGAACUCAUGGGCGGGGGAGCGUGUCAAGAAAAGAAUUACUUCGCCGAGAAAAGAAAUCUGACGAAAUGACAAUGCAAGUAGGGAUUGUUAACCUGCUAACACGUGGAGGGCUCGCCUUCAAGGGGAUGCAACAUGAGUAUGCUGCUGAGCAAAGCCUUGAAAAUGCAGCAAGAUUUUGAAGACAAGAAACACGAAGUUAUAAUUGAAAAUUUAGAAAACAAAAUAAAGGAGCAAUCAACUGCUAUUGAGAAGAAGAACUUUGAGCUCCAGGCAACUGAAGGUUCAUUGGCGGAAGCCGAAGCAAAAAUAGCAGAACUGAACACGAAGCUUCUCUGCCAAUCUGAGCAAUUUGAACAAGAAAAGCAGGAACUCAAUGCAAAACUCGAAGCCGAAGCUCAACAAAAUUCAAAUUUGAGAAAACUAUUGGUGGACCUUCAAGAAAAAUGUUUGGAAUUUAGCAACAAAUGCAUUCAACGACUAAGAAAAAUUUUCCACUCAGUUGGAGCCAGCAGUGAAAAAUUCGCCCCCUCAGCUGAAGAUUUACCGAAGACCUUCGAACAUAUUGAGGGUGAAAUUGACGAGCUCGACGAAGUUAUAGCUGGGCACGGUGACUUCUGUGCCUGGGUAGCUUCUCGGGGCACUGCUGCAGCUUUCCUAAAAGCUGGCUGCGACCAUGGGAAGAUUGUCAAUAGGCCCAAUUUCACUUUAUCACCAUCAAUCCUAGAUGACAUCCCUGAUCUCGCCCGAAGUAUUUCCAAUAGAUUUAUAAAAAUGAUAUGGACAAAAGGCGGGCGAGAAAAGGCUGGAGAUGAAGCUCGGAGUCAUCUUGAACCAGAUGACGAAGCCGAAGUCGAUGAUUAAAAAGGGUGACGCCGAAGCUAAAAUCUCUUGAAGAUUAAGUAGGAGUAGACUGUAGAC
rnacentral:misc_RNA from 1 species